rnacentral:rRNA from 1 species
GAGUUUGAUCCUGGCUCAGGAUGAACGCUGGCGGCGUGCCUAACACAUGCAAGUCGAACGAAGCAGCUUUGGUGAAGUUUUCGGAUGGAACCGGAAUUGACUGAGUGGCGGACGGGUGAGUAACGCGUGGGUAACCUGCCUCACACAGGGGGAUAACAGUUAGAAAUGACUGCUAAUACCGCAUAAGCGCACGGAGACGCAUGUCUCAGUGUGAAAAGCUUUUACGGUGUGAGAUGGACCCGCGUCUGAUUAGGUAGUUGGUGAGGUAACGGCCCACCAAGCCGACGAUCAGUAGCCGACCUGAGAGGGUGACCGGCACAUUGGGACUGGAGACACGGCCCAAACUCCUACGGGAGGCAGCAGUGGGGAUAUUGCACAAGUGGGGGAAACCCUGAUGCAGCGACGCCGC